rnacentral:siRNA from 1 species
AGCCCAAACUUCAACCCCGGUCUA